UACAGAGGGUGCGAGCGUUAAUCGGAAUUACUGGGCGUAAAGCGUGCGUAGACGGUCAUGUAAGUCGGAUGUGAAAGCCCCGGGCUCAACCUGGGAAUUGCAUUCGAGACUGCAUGGCUUGGGUGCGGAAGAGGGAAGCGGAAUUUCCGGUGUAGCGGCGAAAUGCGUAGAUAUCGGAAGGAACACCAGUGGCGAAAGCGGCUUCCUGGUCCGACACCGACGUUCAGGCACGAAAGCGUGGGGAGCAAACAGG
rnacentral:rRNA from 1 species